rnacentral:rRNA from 1 species
UUGUAAGUGUGUAAGGGCGUUCGGUGGAUGCCUUGGUACCAGGAGCCGAUGAAGGACGUGGUAGGCCGCGAUAGUCCUCGGGGAGUUGUCAAACGAGCUGUGAUCCGAGGGUGUCCGAAUGGGGAAACCCAGCACGAGUGAUGUCGUGUUACCCACCUCUGAAUGUAUAGGGGGUGUGGAGGGAACGUGGGGAAGUGAAACAUCUCAGUACCCAUAGGAAGAGAAAACAAAAGUGAUUCCGUGAGUAGUGGCGAGCGAAAGCGGAUGAGGCUAAACCAUGCGCAUGUGAUACCGGGUAGGGGUUGUGUGUGUGGUGUUGUGGGGUUCAUCUUCUUCCAUCUGCCUGUGGAAGCGUGAGUCAGAAAAUCGUGUGUUAGGUGAAGUGGCCUGGAAUGGUCUGCCGUAGACGGUGAGAGUCCGGUAGCUGAAAACACAUGGUCUUGCGUGAUGUUCUCCCAAGUAGCAGCGGGCUCGUGGAAUCUGCUGUGAAUCUGCCGGGACCACCCGGUAAGCCUGAAUACUUCCUGGUGACCGAUAGCGGACAAGUACCGUGAGGGAAAGGUGAAAAGUACCCCGGGAGGGGAGUGAAAUAGUACCUGAAACCGGACGCUUACAAUCCGUCAGAGCCUGCGCCUUCGGGGUGGGUGAUGGCGUGCCUUUUGAAGAAUGAGCCUGCGAGUUAGUGCUCGGUGGCGAGGUUAACCCGUGUGGGGUAGCCGUAGCGAAAGCGAGUCUGAAUAGGGCGUUUGAGUCGCCGGGUCUAGACCCGAAGCGGAGUGAUCUACCCAUGGCCAGGGUGAAGCGACGGUAAGACGUCGUGGAGGCCCGAACCCACUUCAGUUGAAAAUGGAGGGGAUGAGCUGUGGGUAGGGGUGAAAGGCCAAUCAAACUCCGUGAUAGCUGGUUCUCCCCGAAAUGCAUUUAGGUGCAGCGUCAUAUGUUUCUUACCGGAGGUAGAGCUACUGGAUGGCCGAUGGGCCCCACAGGGUUAC